AUGUCAGGUUGCAAUGAGACAUCUGGAUCCAAUUCUCACAUGACUAAGGAACAGACGAAGGGCAAGAGGAUGAGGAGAGGCUUACUGGUGACCAUCCCGACCCACCAGAGCGGCUCCCAGAGGUACCCAUACCCUCCGACACCUGCAAUUUUCAGAGGACAGCGAAGGUCACGUCACCGCAGAUACGCGGAACCGGGGCGCAAAGGAUCCGCCUUUCUCACGAACCAGAAAGACCUAGAGCUACAUCGAGGGGCACGAGAGCGACAGGCGGCGCCCUCGGGGGGAGGAGGCGGACGGACCUGCCCGGGAGCCGACGGCGCCGGCGCGGCGGAGGCCCUUCUUCUUGACGAUGAAGCUGACCCCGACGAAGGCGGAGGAGGCGACGGCGAGGAGCGCGCCCUUGAGGUUGGCGGCGAAGAGGUCGCCGCCGGCGUCCGUCGCGGCGGGGCUCAUCGUGCGGCGGCGCGCGGCCGGCGGCGCAUUUGA
rnacentral:rRNA from 1 species